GAGCGGAAAGGCCCUUCGGGGUACUCGAGCGGCGAACGGGUGAGUAACACGUGAGUAAUCUGCCCCUAGCUCUGGGAUAGCUCCGGGAAACCGGGAUUAAUACCGGAUACGACUCCUUCGGACAUCUGAAGGAGUGGAAAGAUUUAUCGGCUAGGGAUGAGCUCGCGGCCUAUCAGCUUGUUGGUGGGGUAACGGCCUAUCAAGGCGACGACGGGUAGCCGGCCUGAGAGGGCGACCGGCCACACUGGGACUGAGACACGGCCCAGACUCCUACGGGAGGCAGCAGUGGGGAAUAUUGCGCAAUGGGCGAAAGCCUGACGCAGCGACGCCGCGUGGGGGAUGAAGGCCUUCGGGUUGUAAACCCCUUUCAGCAGGGACGAAGCGAAAGUGUCGGUACCUGCAGAAGAAGCGCCGGCUAACUACGUGCCAGCAGCCGCGGUAACACGUAGGGCGCAAGCGUUGUCCGGAAUUAUUGGGCGUAAAGAGCUCGUAGGCGGUCUGUUGCGUCCGCUGUGAAAACUCGGGGCUUAACCCCGAGCCUGCAGUGGAUACGGGCAGACUAGAGGUAGGUAGGGGAGAAUGGAAUUCCCGGUGUAGCGGUGAAAUGCGCAGAUAUCGGGAGGAACACCGGUGGCGAAGGCGGUUCUCUGGGCCUUACCUGACGCUGAGGAGCGAAAGCGUGGGGA
rnacentral:rRNA from 1 species